UUGAAAAACCAAGCAAACAAAACACAAACAUCCACUUUAACAAGAAAAAUGGCACUUUAACCAAAGUCUCGUAUAUCAAAGUAAAGGACACUAAUAGAAUAAAUUCGUUGUUACUCUUAAUCCGUUACUAGAGACUGAAAACGGGACACUCAGCCCGUGCUUCGGGAACAAACAUUCUUAGACUGCCCUCUAGAGAUCAGAGGGUUGAGCUACAGUCGUGUCGAUUUAAAGCAAAACAUUCCGGAAGAUCGUUUUUUCCUUUAGUUCUCCAACAGAAUUUUUGCGAGGAAUCGCCGAGGACCCUGGGCAGGGAGUGUACUCAGAGAGGGGAAGUGAGAGUGAAAAGGUGAUAUCGGCUCUAAAGUUUUGGGAAUGGGAAGGUUUCCAGCCUUUGUGUUGAUCAUCCUAAUGAUUGUUAAGUUUCAGCUGGUGUGGCCAGCACAAGGGAGGCGGAGGCCAACCUGAACUCUACACGAAGACCCUGUCAAACAAAUAAAUUCUACUUGGCAUGGUUUCUUCCCCCGUCUACUGACGACACCCAGUUUUAUUUUAUGGAGCUAACAUCUCCUGUAGUUCAGAUGGGCCUCAAACUCCCAAGUGCUGGAUGACAGUGCUGGAUGAUAGGUGUGUACCACACACCGGCUCAGACUUCACACUCUCUUCUUCACAGAUGGAGAGACUGAAGCCGAGCGCUAACCUGACCAAGGCCCUUAGCUGGUGAAUUAGGAGAAAUGGCCUGCAAACUCCUUUUAGACCAUGACAAACGGAAGGCCUUCAAGCAGAAAUAAGAAACAGAUCCAGAGCUGGGCAGUGGUGGCGCACACCUGUAAUCCCAGUACUUGGGAGGCAGAGGCAGGCGGAUCUCUGACUUCAAGGCCAGCCUGGUCUACAGAGCGAGAUCCAGGACAGCCAGGGAUACAAAGAGUAAACCGUCUUGAAAACAAACAAACAAGAAACCAAAACAGAUCCAGGCAAAUUUGUUGUUGUUGUUGUUGUUGGAGAGAUGGUCUUGCCAAAUGAAUAUUAGGCUCCCUUCCAACUCACAAUCUUACAACAGGCACGCGUCACCAGACCCAGCUUGUCUUUUUAAGAUUUCGUGUAUUUUUCCUGCAGUUCGCAUGUGCACCACGUGUGUACCUGGUGCCUGUGGAGGCCAGAAGAUGUCAGAUCCCCUGGAACUGGAGUUGUGGAUGGUUGUGAGCCACCACGUGGGCGCUGGUUAUUGAACCCAGGUCCUCUGCAAGAGCAACAAGUACUUUAAACCACUGAGCCAUCUUCCCAGUGUCUUCUUUUUCUUUUAAUGGGCAUUGGUGUUUUGCUGUUGGAGCCCACUAGGUUUCCUAGUGGCUGUACCCAGCAGGACUGCAUGGGAGGUUGAUUGGGCCACGGGCCUGGGCACCAGGUGUUUGAAAGGGUCCAACCAGCAAGGGGGAGGUUUUUUGCUCCACCCCUUGGCAUUGUUAUAAAUAGACCUUUGGAAUAAAGUUCUGGCCUGGUAGGUAAGGAUCCAGGCCCUCCUGAGUCUAUCCUAUGUUUUCUCUGUUUCUCUCCCCGCUACUUCUAACUAAGUCUCUUAUCCCUCAUUCCUUAAGAGUCCCUGGGGUAAAUAAUGGUGGGGGCUGGUUCCCCACAUUUUGCCACAAAACUGGAGUUACAGACAGCUGUGAACUGCCAUGUGGGUGCUGGGAAUUGAACCCAGGUCCCCUGGAAGAGCACUUAGUGCUCUUAACUGCUGAGCCAUCUCUUCAGCCCCCUCUUUUUCUUUUGAAUCUUUAGGUUAUGGAUCCAAUUCAGAAACUAAUAUACAAAUGAGUCCUAGGAAAAUGCAAAAAAAUAUUGCAUAGUUCUUCCAAAGGUCAGACAUGCCGUUCCUCUUUCAGUCUCAACGGUUCAAGAGAUCCAUAGACCACACCACUGCACACAAAAAGAUAAGUCACAUUAGGUAAGUUAUCUAUGUCUUUGAGCAGAACAGUUCACAAAACAAAAAAGGUUAUUUUCCAAAUUGGUUCAAGUGUCCAAGAAAAGAUUAGAGAGAAUAACGAGGUGCCAAGACGGUGAGAUCGUCCGUGAGAUCUCACUAGGCCUUCUUGUCCCAAUUGUUUGUUUCCGAGACAGGGUCUCUCUGUGAAGCAGCCCUGGCUGUCCUGGAACUUGCUCUGCAGACAAGGCUGGCUUCGAACUCAGAGGUCUGUCCCCUCUGCCUCCUGAGCGCUGGGAUUAAAGGCAUGUGCCACCACCACCGCCCCACGCCCAGCUUCCUUUUAGUUUCAGGCAGACAAAUGGUAAAAACAAAACAACAGUCCAAUAUACUUUCUUUUUUUCCUUUUUUACUUACAUUAAAUACAUCGAUAAAUCAGCAGUUGCAUUCUGUUACCACGAUUGUUAUGUUAGAAGGAGAGGGAAAGAAAGGCAAACCCUUUCUUAGGAAAAAUAAAGGCAAAAAAAGACCCCUCCCCCUAAAAAUUGAUCAAAAGAAAAAAGAUAACAGGAGGGCAGGAGAGAACAACAAAACCCUCAAGCCCAACAGAGCUCCAAUGAAGGCAGAAGAGCUGGUAGGAGAAGAGGGGCAGCAGCCAGGCCCAGGAGCUAAGGCCAAUACUGUUCCUAAGAGAGGGAGGGAGAGAAAAGCCUAGGGAAAUGGUUUCCCGGCCCCUAGGCACUGAAACAUCUUCACUUUUGUCCCAUGGAAAAAACUACAGAGAAGGAAUUAAACUUCUACAAGCCACCCUAGAUUCUCCACUUGUAAACAGGAUGCGCCUGGGUGCUUUGGGGGACUAACGGGUUCUCGGAAAACAAAGUUGGAAAUGUGUGCUUCCGGGCCGUGAGAACUAAGGCUGCCCCUGGAAAAGGAAGAGAACUGAGGCCUAAGUGGAAGAACCUAAGCUGAGUCCUUGAGAAUCCUGGCUUCAUGGAUUCCUCAGCUGCUCUGGAACAAAAAGGCAGUCUGUAAGCCAAAGGACAGAAAGGUUCUAACUCUAGGUUACUGUGGUUUUUCUUUUCUUCUGCAAAUUUUCCCAAAAUUCUGGCUAACA